GUCCGAUUUGUUAAAGUUUCUACUCUUGGUAAUAUUGACCUUACCUGGUGUGGACUGAAGUUAGGAGAGUCACUUCGCCUCCACUCUUCUCCUAAUCAGCUCUGUUCCUGGCGUGGUCUUCCAGGAUAGACGCCAGAUAAAGGGGCAAGACGUGUUAAUAGUACUUAUUAACAUUAUUCUACAACUACCGGCCCUUACCUAUACUACUUGUGCUCCAUCCAAGUGGUAGGAGAUUCCAGAACAUCGGAUUAC